GGGCCCGCACAAGCGGUGGAGCAUGUGGUUUAAUUCGAUGAUACGCGAGGAACCUUACCAGGGCUUAAAUGUAGUGGGACAGGUCUAGAGAUAGACCCUUCUUCGGACUCAUUACAAGGUGCUGCAUGGUUGUCGUCAGCUCGUGCCGUGAGGUGUCAGGUUAAGUCCUAUAACGAGCGCAACCCCUAUCGUUAGUUGCCAGCGAGUAAUGUCGGGAACUCUAACGAAACUGCCAGUGCAAACUGUGAGGAAGGUGGGGAUGACGUCAAAUCAUCACGGCCCUUACGUCCUGGGCUACACACGUGCUACAAUGGCCGGUACAGAGAGCAGCCACUUCGCGAGUAGGAGCGAAUCUAUAAACCCUAUCACAGUUCGGAUCGGAGUCUGCAACUCGACUCCGUGAAGCUGGAAUC
rnacentral:rRNA from 1 species